rnacentral:tRNA from 1 species
GGAUGAGUGGCCGAGUGGUUUAUGGCACCAGUUUUGAAAACUGACGCAGACAAACUGCCGUGGGUUCGAAUCCUACCUUAUCCU